GACGAACGCUGGCGGCGUGCUUAACACAUGCGAGUCGAACGGAAAGGCCCUGCUUUUGUGGGGUGCUCCAGUGGCGAACGUGUGAGUUACACGUGCGUAACCUGCCCCUGACUUUAGGCUAACUUCUGGAAACUGGGGCUAAUACCUCAUAGGAUCUCCUGCUGCAUGGUGUGGGUUGGAAAGUUUCGUCGGUUGGGGAUGGCCUCGCGGCUUAUCAGCUUGUUGGUGGGGUAGUGGCAUACCAAGGCAUUGACGGGUAGCCGGCCUGAGAGGGUGACCGGCCACAUUGGGACUGAGAUACGGCCCAGACUCCUACGGGAGGCAGCAGUGGGGAAUAUUGCGCAAUGGGCGGAAGCCUGAUGCAGCAACGCCGCGUGCGGGAUGACGGCCUUCGGGUUGUAAACCGCUUUCAGCAGUGACGAAGCGCGAGUGACGGUAAUGGGAAAAGAAGCACCGGCUAACUACGUG
rnacentral:rRNA from 1 species